CAAUAGCGUAUAUUAAAGUUGUUGCGGUUAAAAAGCUCGUAGUUGGAUUUCUGCCGAGGACGACCGGUCCGCCCUCUGGGUGAGUAUCUGGCUCGGCCUGGGCAUCUUCUUGGAGAACGUAUCUGCACUUGACUGUGUGGUGCGGUAUCCAGGACUUUUACUUUGAGGAAAUUAGAGUGUUUCAAGCAGGCAUACGCCUUGAAUACAUUAGCAUGGAAUAAUAAGAUAGGACCUCGGUUCUAUUUUGUUGGUUCUAGAGCUGAGGUAAUGAUUAAUAGGGAUAGUUGGGGGCAUUCGUUAUUAACUGUCAGAAUGGUGUAAAUUCGUUGGAUUUGUUAAAAGACGGACUACUGCGAAAGCAUUUGCCAAGGAUGUUUUCAUUGAUCAAGAACGAAAGUUAGGGGAUCGAAGAUGAUUAGA
rnacentral:rRNA from 1 species